rnacentral:lncRNA from 10 species
UGCAGUGCCGUUAUUCCAGUCUCCGUAGAAACGCUGGGACUAUGGCGGAGCCGACUGGGCUGUUGGAGAUGUCCGAGCUCCCCGGAGAUAGCAGUGUCCCACAGAAUAUGUAUUCUAUUCACAAGACUCAACAAAAAAAAGUAUCGGCCGGGCGCACUGGCUUACGCCUGUAAUCCCAGCACUUUGGGAGGCCACGGCGGGUGGAUCACCUGAGGUCAGGAAUUCAAGACCACCCUGGCCAACAUGGUGAAACCCCAUCUCUACGAAAAAUAAAAAAUUAA